rnacentral:rRNA from 1 species
UACGAAGGGUGCAAACGUUGCUCGGAAUUAUUGGGCGUAAAGCGCACGUAGGCGGCUUUGCAAGUCGGAUGUGAAAUCCCUCGGCUCAACCAAGGAAGUGCAUCCGAAACUGCAGAGCUUGAGUACCAAAGAGGAUCGCGGAAUUCCCGGUGUAGAGGUGAAAAUUCGUAGAUAUCGGGAGGGAACAACCAGUGGACGAAGGGCGGGCGAUCUGGGUUGGGAUACUGACGCUGAGGUGCGAAAGCGUGGGGGAGCAAAACAGGG